UUUAUAUUUUUAGAAUCCUUUUUUUUUCUACUUCUGAAAAUUCCUCUAAUGUUAAAUAAACUCUCUACAGCAUGAUUUUGCAUUCAAAUUCUAACUUACACAAGCUGGGUCAUUACAUUUACACAAUUUUUUUUUUUAAAAUAGUUUGCUAAUUUUAAUUACAGCCUUGGUGCUUGUCGAAUGUGAGGAAUUCAUAAAAG
rnacentral:lncRNA from 1 species